AUACGGAGGGUGCAAGCGUUGUUCGGAAUCACUGGGCGUAAAGGGCGCGCAGGCGGUUUUACAAGUCAGAUGUGAAAGCCCACGGCUCAACCGUGGAAGUGCAUUUGAAACUGUAAGACUUGAGGAUCAGAGGGGAAGGUGGAAUUCCCGGUGUAGAGGUGAAAUUCGUAGAUAUCGGGAGGAAUACCGGUGGCGAAGGCGACUUUCUGGCUGAAUACUGACGCUGAGGCGCGAAAGCGUGGGGAGCAAACAGGAUUAGAUACCCUAGUAGUCC
rnacentral:rRNA from 1 species